ACCGAUAGCGAACAAGUACCGUGAGGGAAAGAUGAAAAGAACUUUGAAAAGAAAGUGAAAUAGUACGUGAAAUCGUUGGAAGCAAGCGAAUCACUCUUCCUUCCCGUCGGCGGGCUCGCCCCGCCGCUCGGGGGCACGAUCCGUUCCUGGUCGGCUACGCGGCACGCCAACGGCUCCGGCCGCGGCGCUUUGCCCAGCCUUCCGGGGGCCGAGGACAACCUACUCGCGCCACGCCCUGCGCCUCCGGGCGCUGCGUGGCCAGGAUCGUGCCUUGCUACCGGAGUGAUCCGACCCGUCUUGAAACACGGACCAAGGAGUCUAACAUGUGUGCGAGUGUUUGGGUGGCAAACCCCAACGCGCAGGUAACCCGAGAUUGCCCGAGCCUUUUACCGGGCGCAAGGCAGGCAGCGCGUUGGCCUUCUGGCCGAUGCCUAGCAGGAGCAUGCAUGCUGGGACCCGAAAGGUGGUGAACUAUGCUUGUGCAGGGUGAAGUCAGGGGAAACCCUGAUGGAAGCUCGAAGCGAUACUGACGUGCAAAUCGUUCGUCUGACAUGAGUAUAGGGGCGAAAGACUAAUCGAACCACCUAGUUGCUGGUUUCCUCCGAAGUUUCCCCCAGGAUAGCUGGAACCCGUUGCGAGCCGUGUCAGGUAAAGCGAAUGAUUAGAGGUUUCGGGGUAGAAACUAUCUCGUCCUAUUCUCAAACUUUAAAUGGGCACGAUGCGGUGGUCGCUUAACUGGACUGCUGCGUUGGGUCGGGGUUCUUAGUGGGCCAUUUUUGGUAAGCAGAACUGGCGAUGCGGGAUGCACCGGACGCUCGGUUAAGGGGCCUAAGUGCUCGCUCAUUCAGAUACCAUAAAGGGUGUUGGUUGAUGAAGACAGCAGGACGGUGGUCAUGGAAGUCGAAAUCCGCUAAGGAGUGUGUAACAACUCACCUGCCGAAUCAACUAGCCCCGAAAAUGGAUGGCGCUCAAGCGAGCCCCCGAAACCGGGCCAUCCGGGCAGAUGCGACGCCCGGAUGAGUAGGAGGACGCGUCGGUCGCAGCGAAGGCGCGGGCGCGAGCCCCGCUCAGAGCGGCCGAUAGUGCAGAUCUUGGUGUUAGUAGCAAAUAUUCAAAUGAAAACUUUGAAGGCCGAAGUGGAGAAAGGUUUCACGCGAACAACAUUUGGACGUGAGUGACUCGGUCCUAAGGUAUUCCGUAUGGGAUUCAGAAGCCGCGGCUCGUCUGCGGCGUCGGCCGAAAGGGAUACGGGUUUAGAUUCCCGUAGUGUGGACGGUGGUGCUGAGCGGCGACGCGUUCAAACCUGCUGACGACGGCCCGGGCCCUGGGAAGAGUUCUCUUUUCUUUUUAACGCGUCCGCUCGGCCCUGGAAUGCCUUCACGGCUCGAUGGGGCGGAGCGCGCGGCAAAGCGGCUGACUUCCUCAGCCGUCCGGUGCGCUCGGGACGUCCCUUGAAAAGGCAGGGGCGUGCUUAUACACCCGGUCCCAGCCGUACUCAUAACCGCAUCAGGUCUCCAAGGUUAAAAGCCUCUGGCCAAUAGAACAAUGUAGGUAAGGGAAGUCGGCAAAUUGGUUCCGUAAGUUCGCGAUAUGGAAUGGCUCGUCAGCCUGGGUGGUAGAGGCUCGGUCCAUGAAGCCCGCUAGCCGACGGGACUGGCUGGGCCGCCUUCGGGUGCGCCCGGCCGGGCCCGCUUCGGUAGGUGGGUGGAGGGGUCGAGACAGCGCCGGGCGUUUCGGCGACCGGUUAGCGUUCUCGCCACGACUAGCAGGCAAUGACGAACUCGUAGUGACCACAGGAACCCGACUGUUUAAUUAAAACAAAGCAUUGCGAUGGUUGCAAGUCAAUGGUGACGCAAUGUGAUUUCUGCCCAGUGCUCUGAAUGUCAACGUGAUGUAAUUCAAUUAAGCGCGGGUAAACGGCGGGAGUAACUAUGACUCUCUUAAGGUAGCCAAAUGCCUCGUCAUCUAAUUAGUGACGCGCAUGAAUGGAUCAACGAGGUUCCUACUGUCCCUAUCUACUAUCUAGCGAAACCACAGCCAAGGG
rnacentral:rRNA from 1 species